rnacentral:rRNA from 1 species
UACGUAGGGUGCAAGCGUUGUUCGGAAUUAUUGGGCGUAAAGCGCGCGUAGGCGGGUUUGUAAGUCGAUUGUGAAAUCCCUGGGCUUAACCUGGGAAUGGCAGUCGAAACUGCAAAUCUUGAAUACCUAAGAGGAUGGCGGAAUUCCCGGUGUAGUAGUGAAAUACGUAGAUAUCGGGAGGAACACCUGAGGCGAAAGCGGCUGUCUGGUGGUGUAUUGACGCUGAGGCGCGAAAGCGUGGGGAGCAAACAGG